rnacentral:rRNA from 1 species
AGAGUUUGAUCCUGGCUCAGAUUGAACGCUGGCGGCAUGCCUUACACAUGCAAGUCGAACGGUAACAGGGAGCUUGCUCUGCUGACGAGUGGCGAACGGGUGAGUAAUAUAUCGGAACGUGCCCUGGAGUGGGGGAUAACUAGUCGAAAGAUUAGCUAAUACCGCAUACGAUCUCAGGAUGAAAGUGGGGGAUUCGCAAGGACCUCAUGCUCGUGGAGCGGCCGAUAUCUGAUUAGCUAGUUGGUAGGGUAAAAGCCUACCAAGGCAUCGAUCAGUAGCUGGUCUGAGAGGACGACCAGCCACACUGGGACUGAGACACGGCCCAGACUCCUACGGGAGGCAGCAGUGGGGAAUUUUGGACAAUGGGCGCAAGCCUGAUCCAGCAAUGCCGCGUGAGUGAAGAAGGCCUUCGGGUUGUAAAGCUCUUUUGUCAGGGAAGAAACGGUUUGGCUUAAUACGCUGAGCUAAUGACGGUACCUGAAGAAUAAGUACCGGCUAACUACGUGCCAGCAGCCGCGGUAAUACGUAGGGUGCAAGCGUUAAUCGGAAUUACUGGGCGUAAAGCGUGCGCAGGCGGUUAUGUAAGACAGAUGUGAAAUGCCCGGGCUUAACCUGGGAACUGCAUUUGUGACUGCAUGGCUAGAGUGUGUCAGAGGGGGGUAGAAUUCCACGUGUAGCAGUGAAAUGCGUAGAUAUGUGGAGGAAUACCGAUGGCGAAGGCAGCCCCCUGGGAUAACACUGACGCUCAUGCACGAAAGCGUGGGGAGCAACCAGGAUUAGAUACCCUGGUAGUCCACGCCCUAAACGAUGUCUACUAGUUGUCGGGUCUUAAUUGACUUGGUAACGCAGCUAACGCGUGAAGUAGACCGCCUGGGGAGUACGGUCGCAAGAUUAAAGCUCAAAGGAAUUGACGGGGACCCGCACGAGCGGUGGAUGAUGUGGAUUAAUUCGAUGCAACGCGAAAAACCUUACCUACCCUUGACAUGUCAGAGAGUUCGAAGAGAUUUGAGUGUGCUCGAAAGAGAAUCUGAACACAGGUGCUGCAUGGCUGUCGUCAGCUCGUGUCGUGAGAUGUUGGGUUAAGUCCCGCAGCGAGCGCAACCCUUGUCAUUAGUUGCUACGAAAGGGCACUCUAAUGAGACUGCCGGUGACAAACCGGAGGAAGGUGGGGAUGACGUCAAGUCCUCAUGGCCCUUAUGGGUAGGGCUUCACACGUCAUACAAUGGUACAUACAGAGGGCUGCCAACCCGCGAGGGGGAGCUAAUCCCAGAAAGUGUAUCGUAGUCCGGAUUGGAGUCUGCAACUCGACUCCAUGAAGUUGGAAUCGCUAGUAAUCGCGGAUCAGCAUGUCGCGGUGAAUACGUUCCCGGGUCUUGUACACACCGCCCGUCACACCAUGGGAGCGGGUUUUACCAGAAGUAGGUAGCCUAACCGCAAGGAGGGCGCUUACCACGGUAGGAUUCGUGACUGGGGUGAAGUCGUAACAAGGUA